AUGAACGCUGGCGGCGUGCCUAAUACAUGCAAGUCGCGCGAACAGACGAGGAGCUUGCUCCUUUGAUGUUAGCGGCGGACGGGUGAGUAACACGUAGGUAACCUACCUAUAAGACUGGGAUAACUUCGGGAAACCGGAGCUAAUACCGGAUAAUAUUUCGAACCGCAUGGUUCGAUAGUGAAAGAUGGCUUUGCUAUCACUUAUAGAUGGACCUGCGCCGUAUUAGCUAGUUGGUAAGGUAACGGCUUACCAAGGCAACGAUACGUAGCCGACCUGAGAGGGUGAUCGGCCACACUGGAACUGAGACACGGUCCAGACUCCUACGGGAGGCAGCAGUAGGGAAUCUUCCGCAAUGGGCGAAAGCCUGACGGAGCAACGCCGCGUGAGUGAUGAAGGUCUUCGGAUCGUAAAACUCUGUUAUUAGGGAAGAACAAACGUGUAAGUAACUGUGCACGUCUUGACGGUACCUAAUCAGAAAGCCACGGCUAACUACGUG
rnacentral:rRNA from 1 species